AUAAGUUCUCAGGGCGGGGCGAAAUUCCCCACCGGCGGUAAUUCUUGGUUUUUUCAAGACGAGCCCGCGAGCGCCACCAACUUUUGGUGGGUCAAGCAGAUUGUGGUGUGAUUCCACAGCCGACGGUUAUAGUCCGGAUGAAAGAGGACUACG
rnacentral:ncRNA from 2 species